rnacentral:rRNA from 1 species
UGGGGAAUAUUGGACAAUGGGCGAAAGCCUGAUCCAGCCAUGCCGCGUGUGUGAAGAAGGUCUUCGGAUUGUAAAGCACUUUAAGUUGGGAGGAAGGGCAGUAAGCGAAUACCUUGCUGUUUUGACGUUACCGACAGAAUAAGCACCGGCUAACUCUGUGCCAGCAGCCGCGGUAAUACAGAGGGUGCAAGCGUUAAUCGGAAUUACUGGGCGUAAAGCGCGCGUAGGUGGUUCGUUAAGUUGAAUGUGAAAGCCCCGGGCUCAACUUGGGAACUGCAUCCAAAACUGGCGAGCUAGAGUAGGGCAGAGGGUGGUGGAAUUUCCUGUGUAGCGGUGAAAUGCGUAGAUAUAGGAAGGAACACCAGUGGCGAAGGCGACCACCUGGGCUCAUACUGACACUGAGGUGCGAAAGCGUGGGGAGCAAACAGG